rnacentral:rRNA from 1 species
GAUGAACGCUGGCGGCGUGCCUAAUACAUGCAAGUCGAGCGAACGGACGAGAAGCUUGCUUCUCUGAUGUUAGCGGCGGACGGGUGAGUAACACGUGGAUAACCUACCUAUAAGACUGGGAUAACUUCGGGAAACCGUAGCUAAUACCGGAUAAUAUUUUGAACCGCAUGGUUCAAAAGUGAAAGACGGUCUUGCUGUCACUUAUAGAUGGAUCCGCGCUGCAUUAGCUAGUUGGUAAGGUAACGGCUUACCAAGGCAACGAUGCAUAGCCGACCUGAGAGGAUGAUCGGCCACACUGGAACUGAGACACGGUCCAGACUCCUACGGGAGGCAGCAGUGGGGAAUCUUGCGCAAUGGGCGAAAGCCUGACGGAGCAACGCCGCGUGAGUGAUGAAGGUCUUCGGAUCGUAAAACUCUGUUAUUAGGGAAGAACAUAUGUGUAAGUAACUGUGCACAUCUUGACGGUACCAAAUCAGAAAGCCACGGCUAACUACGUG